AACAAAACUGUCAUCAUAGAAAUAAGGAGUCUAUGAUGUAACUAGUUCACAUUAGAUAAGUGCCCUUGUGCAGUGUGAAACUUGAACAACCAUACAUGACAGCCUUGUCCCAACCCCUUGGAGAAAAUAAGUCUGUUAGUACCUGAGCUUUUCCAGCAUUCAUGACAGGUGAGCUACAUUUGACAUCUUUUUUGUGGCAUGAUUUUGCAGGACUAAAAAAAAGAAUUCUUGGCAGUGUUCAGCUCUGGAAGUUGUGGCUAUGUUAUUCUGCCUUGGAAACACAAAGUCCGUAAGCUGGCAAGCUUUUCUGUAAUCAUUGUAACCUGAAAGAAUUUGAAUUUUCAAACUUUGUUUUGAAGGGAACUCUUUUCCUUCCCUUUUUCUAUUUGUGAACAAAUUAGAGGAAGUUUGGAGUAGAGGAAAAUUCUGCUCUUCGCUUGGGUGUGUCCUAGAGUCCAAGGUUCAGUCACUGGCUCUUCUGCAUAAACUCCGCCAUUCAUCUGGCAUUCCCUUCAUUUCAGGUCUGGGUGUGAGCAGGCAGAACCUUCAAGAGGACCCCUCCUGGCGAGGGUCCUGCUUCGGAGAAAGCAAAUCUGAUCUGAGGAGAGCUGCCAGACCAGUCUGCCUCUAAAAACAAUCAUUCAAUUCCCAAGUGUUUACCAUGUACAUCUUGUCAGCGGAAUUAUAGGAAAUACAAAUACAGAUAAGAUCCCAGUU
rnacentral:lncRNA from 1 species